rnacentral:lncRNA from 1 species
UCUACUUUCAAAUAUCAAAUACACUCUUUUUUUUUUUUUUUUUUAAUCUUUGUUCUGUUGUCUCACUCAGUUUAUCUUAUCUAUCUCAACAUCCAAGAGAGAAACAAACAUAAAGGCAUCAUCAUACAGGUAAAGUAAUUUAGUUUGUUUACCAUAUAUUCUUGCUAGUCUCUCUGCCUGCUAGCUAGUUACCCUUGUUCGUCAUCUUCCAAACAUUUUUAAUGGAGUUCAACUAUAAUUUCUAAUGCUAUAUUUUAAAAUCUGUUAGUACAUAUUUAUAUUCUUGACUUUAAUGAUGUGUGUCUAUAAAUUAUUUUUUUAGAUAUACACGUCUUUAAUAAAUUGGUUUGUAGUUAUAUAUUUUUGUCAUUAAGUAUAUAUAGCAUGCUAUCUUUACUUCAAUAAUGUGACAAAUAAUCAUAUGUGUGGUGUUCUUAGUUGUAUAUAUAUAAUAAUAAUAAUGUUAAGUCUUUAUUUUUAUUUUUAUGUCAGUAUAUAUAUUCUGUCUAAAAACAACAACAUAGAACGGGUUUAUAACUUUUGUGAGAAAACAAAGAAAGAAUGUUUUUUUUUCUUUCUUUUUGCUGGAUUUAUAAGUAUCGUGCAUCGUUUUGAUUUUGCGAAGAAAAAUAAUUUUAAUGAAGAUUGAUUUUGAUUUUGCAGAGGGUGUAUGCAAAGGGACUGUGUUGUUCGAGAACUUCCCAGCUUCUGCGCAAAGUGACUGUACUGUUUGUCCGAGAGCUUCCCAUCUUCUGCUUGACCAGCCUUUGAAGUUAAUCUGAUAUGUAAUUAAUGCAAUUAUGAUAUUUAUUACGAAGAAUAUAUAUGUAUAUAUGGUGUGGAUAUGUGUCACAUACGUAUAGAUGGGUCACAUGUAUGAUGAAUGUCACAUGCAUAUUAUAGAUGUAUGUAUAGGGUGUGUUGAUGCCACGCGCAUAGUAUAUAGAAUAUAUCUGUAUGUAUAUGGUAUUAGGGUGUAUGUCUAGAUGUAGUGUAUAUAGGGUGUGAUUGUUGCAUAGUAUAGAUGAACUUGUCACAUGACAAGUAUAGAUGUAGUCUAGGUGCGAAUGUGAGCGAUGGUACGCAGUGUCGCAUGCAUAAAGAGCGACGGAACAACACACACAAAAAAAAUCAACUUCGACGGAAAAAAUUAUAUCACACGAUAAAGAUAACAAAACAGCACGCACAAAACUGGACAACUGAAGCACGCACAAAACUGGACAACAUAAGACCGUCAAAAUAACUUAACUGGCCGACGGUCAAAUAACUGGCCAAGCGAUCGUUAGUCGAAACACGUAUAAUUUUUUUAGCAAAACUAAUAUUAAUGGCUAGGCAUGAUUAAGUUGCGAAAACAUACGUGUAACAGUGUCAAAAUAUUUCUGUAUUUCGGAGAGCUUUAAUUCACCUAAAUGGUGACAAACGACACAAAAAAUCCUAAA